rnacentral:rRNA from 1 species
GAUCAUGGCUCAGGAUGAACGCUAGCGAUAGGCUUAACACAUGCAAGUCGAGGGGUAACAUGGAGAGAAGCUUGCUUCACUCUGAUGACGACCGGCGGAUGGGUGAGUAACGCGUAUGCAACUUGCCUCUUAGUGGGGGAUAACCCGGAGAAAUCCGGACUAAUACCGCAUAUUCUUAAUUUCUCGCAUGAGUUAUUAAGGAAAGAUUUAUUGCUAAGAGAUAGGCAUGCG